rnacentral:rRNA from 1 species
CCCUUAGACGUUCUGGGCCGCACGCGCGCUACACUGACCAGUGCAACAAGCAUCCGUCCUUGGCCGACAGGCCCUGGCAAUCUUUGAACGCUGGUCGUGAUGGGGAUAGACUUUUGCAAUUUUUGGUCUUCAACGAGGAAUUCCUAGUAAACGCAAGUCAUCAACUUGCAUUGAUUACGUCCCUGCCCUUUGUACACACCGCCCGUCGCACCUACCGAUUGAAUGGUCCGGUGAAGCCUCCGGAUUGGCGCGCACCUCGGUGCCGCCGAGAAGUUGGCUAAACCUUACCAUUUAGAGGAAGGUGAAGUCGUAACA